rnacentral:rRNA from 1 species
GAAAGCGUAAUAGCUCACUGAUCGAGUCGUCCUGCGCGGAAGAUGUAACGGGGCUAAGCCAGUUACCGAAGCUGCGGAUGUGCGCGCAAGCGUACGUGGUAGGAGAGCGUUCCGUAAGCCUGUGAAGGUGGGUCGUGAGGCCUGCUGGAGGUAUCGGAAGUGCGAAUGCUGACAUGAGUAGCGUUAAAGGGGGUGAAAAGCCCCCUCGCCGAAAGCGCAAGGUUUCCUACGCAACGUUCAUCGGCGUAGGGUGAGUCGGCCCCUAAGGCGAGGCAGAGAUGCGUAGCUGAUGGGAAACAGGUCAAUAUUCCUGUACCGAUCUAUAGUGCGAUGUGGGGACGGAGAAGGUUAACUCAGCCGGGUGUUGGAUGUCCCGGUUCAAGCCUGUAGUCAUGCCUGGUAGGCAAAUCCGCCGGGCUUAGAUGAGGGGUGAUAACGAGUCUGCUUGCAGACGAAGUGAGUGAUACCCUGCUUCCAGGAAAAGCCACUAAGCUUCAGCUAUAGACGACCGUACCGCAAACCGACACUGGUGCGCGAGAUGAGUAUUCUAAGGCGCUUGAGAGAACUCUGGAGAAGGAACUCGGCAAAUUGACACCGUAACUUCGGAAGAAGGUGUGCCUUUAGUAGGUGAAGUCCCUCGCGGAUGGAGCCCAAUGAGGUUGCAAAGAAUCGGUGGCUGCGACUGUUUAAUAAAAACACAGCACUCUGCAAAGACGAAAGUCGACGUAUAGGGUGUGACGCCUGCCCGGUGCUGGAAGAUUAAAUGAUGGGGUGCAAGCUCUUGAUUGAAGUCCCAGUAAACGGCGGCCGUAACUAUAACGGUCCUAAGGUAGCGAAAUUCCUUGUCGGGUAAGUUCCGACCUGCACGAAUGGCGUAACGAUGGCCACACUGUCUCCACCCGAGACUCAGCGAAGUUGAAAUGUUUGUGAAGAUGCAAUCUACCCGAGGCUAGACGGAAAGACCCCAUGCACCUUUACUGUAGCUUUGCAUUGGACUUUGAACAGAUCUGUGUAGGAUAGGUGGGAGGCUUUGAAGCAGGAACGCCAGUUCUUGUGGAGCCAACCUUGAAAUACCACCCUGAUGUGUUUGAGGUUCUAACCUAGGUCCGUAAUCCGGAUCGGGGACAUUGCAUGGUAGGCAGUUUGACUGGGGCGGUCUCCUCCCAAAGUGUAACGGAGGAGUACGAAGGUACGCUAGGUACGGUCGGACAUCGUACUGAUAGUGCAAUGGCAUAAGCGUGCUUGACUGCGAGACUGACAAGUCGAGCAGGUGCGAAAGCAGGUCAUAGUGAUCCGGUGGUUCUGUAUGGAAGGGCCAUCGCUCAACGGAUAAAAGGUACGCCGGGGAUAACAGGCUGAUACCGCCCAAGAGUUCAUAUCGACGGCGGUGUUUGGCACCUCGAUGUCGGCUCAUCUCAUCCUGGGGCUGUAGCCGGUCCCAAGGGUAUGGCUGUUCGCCAUUUAAAGAGGUACGUGAGCUGGGUUUAAAACGUCGUGAGACAGUUUGGUCCCUAUCUGCCGUG